UGCGUAGGUGGAUAAUUAAGUCAGAGGUGAAAUCCUGCAGCUCAACUGUAGAAUUGCCUUUGAUACUGGUUAUCUUGAGUUAUUAUGAAGUAGUUAGAAUAUGUAGUGUAGCGGUGAAAUGCAUAGAUAUUACAUAGAAUACCAAUUGCGAAGGCAGAUUACUAAUAAUCAACUGACACUGAUGGACGAAAGCGUGGGGAGCGAACAGGAUUAGAUACCCUGGUAGUCC
rnacentral:rRNA from 1 species